rnacentral:rRNA from 1 species
UACGUAGGGCGCAAGCGUUAUUCGGAUUCACUGGGCGUAAAGGGUGCGCAGGCGGCCGAGUGUGUGAGGCGUGAAAGCCCGGGGCUUAACCCCGGAAUUGCACCUCAAACUACACGGCUAGAGCAUUGGAGAGGGUAGCAGAAUUCACGGUGUAGCAGUGAAAUGCGUAGAUAUCGUGAGGAAUACCAGAGGCGAAGGCGGCUACCUGGACAAUUGCUGACGCUCAGGCACGAAAGCGUGGGGAGCAAACAGG